rnacentral:rRNA from 1 species
CGGGAAAAGCUCAAAUUUAAAAUCUGGCGGUUUCGGCCGUCCGAGUUGUAAUCUGGAGAAGCGUUUUCCGCGUUGGACCGUGCACAAGUUUCCUGGAACGGAGCGUCAUAGAGGGUGAGAAUCCCGUCUUUGGCACGGACCCCAAUGCUUUGUGAUACGCUCUCAAA